rnacentral:rRNA from 1 species
UACGGUAGGCAGCAAGCGUUGUUCGGAGUUACUGGGCGUAAAGGGUGUGUAGGCGGUUAUUUAAGUUUGGUGUGAAAUCUCCCGGCUCAACCGGGAGGGUGCGCCGAAUACUGAAUGACUUGGAGUGCGGGAGAGGAAAGUGGAAUUCCUGGUGUAGCGGUGAAAUGCGUAGAUAUCAGGAGGAACACCGGUGGUGUAGACGGCUUUCUGGACCGUAACUGACGCUGAGGGACGAAAGCUAGGGGAGCGAAAGGG